AAUUUUCUGGAUUACCCGUGUUAUUAUUAUUAUUAUUCAGAUAAGAAUCUUUUUUAUCAUAAAUUUCACAAUUACUAGUAUUAAUAUUUUUAUAGCCUCUCUCUGUAAGGUGAGAGUGGAAUUUAUCCUUUAUUUUGUCCUUUCCAUUCACUCGAAUUUCUUCCGUUUCAUCGAUUUUGUCCGGAUCCGACCCUUCUUCCGAAAAAGGGGAAGGAGAAGGAUAAGGAUCUUCUUCAGUGGAUCCCUCUUGAAAAAGGGAAGGAGAAGGAUAAGGAUCUUCUUCAGUGGAUCCCUCUUGAAAAAGGGAAGGAGAAGGAUAAGGAUCUUCUUCAGUGGAUCCCUCUUGUUCCUGUUUAGUCCCCUUCAUUUCGGAAGCAGUUUCUACAUCUCUUUCUUCCUCACUUUCCUCCCUUUCUUCUGUUUUUGAGGCCUCUUUCAGUUUCUUAGCUUCUUUCAGUUUCUUAGUAAGAAUGGGUGAGGGUAUUCUGCCUAAAUAGUAGACACAGGUAAUAAAUAAGAGAAUACUAAAGAUCCGAGCCAUAGAAUUUCUCAAUUCUAACACAAGGUACUUAUUAGAUCGAAUGUACUUAUUAGAUCGAAUGUACUUAUUCGAUCUAAUAGAAUGAUUUUGCCGUAUCCAGACUAAUCCCAAUCCAAGUCAUUUCAUGAAUAAAAUGUGAACAAUUAACCAACCAACAAAACCAUUUGUUACAAAUAAGAUCUUGUUGUUGCAUCGAAAGAGAUAAAUGUUGACUAAUCUGGCUAACAUUGAACUUGGUAAAAUGAAAUGGUUGAAUAAUUGAAAAAUGAGAUUACUCAGGAAUACACAUUGAAUGCUGAGAUUGCACAUUGAAUUUCUGGUAGUAUAUCCAUAAAAAAAAAGUGUUUGUGAUUGUUCCAGAAGAAAUGAAACAAAAGAUAUGGUAGAGCUAGGACGGUUAUUGUAUGAGGUCUACCCAAUGCUAGAUGCAGAGGAGCAUAAUAGAUCGAUAUGAACAUCAUGAGCUAUCCCAUAAUAAAACCAGUUGUUGUUGAUACCUUCUUCUCGGUUCCUUCUUCCAUAACUAGAGCUCGAAGAAGGAAGAGAUAAGAGGGCCCUAUGGAGAACGUGGUAAGAAAUUCAUAAUAGAGUCCGACUACAACAACUGAAUUGAUUGUCUUCAUGCAUAAGGAUACUAGAUUACCUAGUAGAAAAGAUUAAAAAAUCAUCACAAACCUCCCUUAUUUCUUUUUCUAUUGCAAUUUCUGGAUUAUUAUAUGAUGAUUUUUUCACUUUCCAUAUAUAGAAAAGAAAUAGAAAGAGAUAGACUAGAAACAACAUCUAUUAUGCCAAUAAGACCAAAGGGAUAUUAAAUGAAUGGAAUUGGGAUAUGGAUGGAAUAUAAUGAAAUAAAUCCACUUUGUGGUUCCUUCUGAAAUGAGGCAUGUAAGGGAGUCACUACGAAGAAGUUUCGAGAGUUACAAAGGAAAAUUCUAGCUCAUAUUGGUCAUGGGUUGGGAAUAGGAAUUGAAAUCUAUGAGAUUGAAUCUCUUGUUGUUCCUCAGUAGCUCAGUGGUAGAGCGGUCGGCUGUUAACCGAUUGGUUGUAGGUUCAAAUCCUACUUGGGGAGAUUUGAUUGAUUCUGAAUUAAAGAAUUCAGAAUAAAGGGGCUCGCUUUGCCCGUUAACAGUAGGUAACCCAUUCCCUAUCUUUUUUUCUUUUGCAUUCUAUCUCAUCAUAUCACAUUCUGUUCUGGGAGAUUACAAAAUCACCAUCAAUACCUCAGUCUAAGUCCGAGAUAAUCCUUUGUUCCAUAGCCCUGGGGUGGGGCUAAUUACAACUAGCCAAUUAAGAAGUCUCAGAUGUACUAGCACUGCAUCUUUGAUGCAGUCAUCAAUUCUCCCAUAUAAAUGAAAGAAAAAGAAAAAGGAAUGACAUCACAACGAGAUUCUAAUCUCAAAACAAAAAGAAAGGGGGAUAUGGCGAAAUCGGUAGACGCUACGGACUUAAUUGGAUUGAGCCUUGGUAUGGAAAUGUACUAAGUGAUCACUUUCAAAUUCAGAGAAACCUUGGAAUGAACAAAAAUGGGCGAUCCUAAGCCAAAUCAUUUUUUUUGAAAACAAAUAAAGGUUCAGAAAAAAAGGAUAGGCGCAGAAACUCAAAUGAAAGCUAUUCUAACAAAUGGAGUUAAAUGUGUUGGUAGAGGAAUCUUUACAUUGAAACUUCAGAAAGAAAAAGAAUGAAGUGAAGUAUAAAUAUAUAUACAUACGUAUUGAAUACUAUAUCAAAUGAUUAAUGACGAUCCGAAUCCCUGAUCAAAUCAUUCACUCCAUAGUCUGAUAGAUCUUUUGAAGAACUGAUUAAUCGGACGAGAAUAAAGAUAGAGUCCCGUUCUACAUGUCAAUACCGGCAACAAUGAAAUUUAUAGUAAGAGGAAAAUCCGUCGACUUUUAAAAUCAUGAGGGUUGAAGUCCCUCUAUCCCCAAAAAGACUAUUUCAACCCCCAACUAUUUCUCCGACCCCUUUUCCUUAGCAGUUCCAAAUUACUUAUCUUUCUCAUUCACUCUAUUAUUUUAGAAAUGGAUUUUUCUUUUAGAAAUGGAUUUUAGCGUAAAUGGAUUUCUCUUCAGCCUUGUGAUAUAUAUGAUACACAUAGAACUGAACAUCUUUGAGUAAGGAAUACCUAGUUGAAUGAUUACCCAUAUCAUUACUCAAUACUAAAACUUACAAAGUCAUUUUUUUGAAGAUCGAAGAAAUUCCCCGGCUUUGAUAAAAUUUUUUAAUCAACUUUUGUCCUUUUAAUUUACAAAGACCUAUUGACAAAGACCCCUUUAUGUGUUGAGAUAAAAUUUUUUAAGAUAAAAUUAGAGUAACAAGCAGAGAACUAAAAAUCCUCAUGUUAAUGAAUGGUUCCAAUUGGGAAGACCACAGGACUCUAAAUCCUCCUAUUAACGGGGACUGAAAAUUCUUAUGUUCGAGGUUCCAAUUGGGAUUGGUAGACCAAAGGAUUGUAAAUCCUCGUCCCACCAGUUCCAAUUAGGAAUACCGGGGGACUCUAAAUCUUUGUGUUCAAGGUUCGAAUUAGGAUUGGUAUAGCCCUGAAAAUCCUCGGGUUACCAGUCCCAACCUUGAUAAAAAAUCUGGAUUGGGAAUAGCCGGGAUAGCUCAGUUGGUAGAGCAGAGGACUGAAAAUCCUCGUGUCACCAGUUCAAAUCUGGUUCCUGGCACAUGAUUAAUUUGUAUGGGUCUCUCUUCACUAGAAUUAAUUUCUAAUUAAUUGAUAUGAAUCAACAUACAUAUUCUUUUAGAGUCUAGAUUAGAAUAAUAGCUUUAUCCAGUUUGGCGAGAUAUACCCCAUACUAUGUUCUAUAUGGGUAGAGUUUCUUAGAUAAAGUAUCGAAAAGAAUUGGAUUCUAUCUCCUCUUUUUUUUCUUCUCUCGUUCAAACAAAUUUGAAUACGUAAUACAUAUUUGAAAGGUAAAAUUGGUUAAUUGUUGAAAGUCUCAAAAGUCGAAUCUAGGAGGGUUGAAAUAAACAAGAUUCAGCUCAGAUCCAAAGAAAUAGAAUUCGAUAUUCUAUCAUUUCUUUGUCUUUUCUUUCAUAUUCGAUUUCUUCAUUCCGGAUUUCUCCAUCCCUUCCUAUAUGCCCUUCUAGAACCCAUCUAAGUAAUGUGCGCAGUACAAAGUUCAUGAUGCAGAACUCAUUUGGUUCAUCCUAUAGGUAUGACUCAUCCGAAAUAAGAAUCUUCUAAAUAAAUGUGAGAAUUACAAUGAAUCCCCAAUUGUCUUUUUUUGUUAGACUAUUUAUAAUUCCCUAAAUUAGACCUGCUUAAUCUAGAACAGAACAUGCAAUCCUUGAAUAUCUUAAAUUGUCUAAGUGGAAAUAGCUUUCUUAUCAUUCAAUGAGCAUCUUGUAUUUCAUAAAAAUUGGGGGCAAUAUAAUCCUUACAUAAGGGCCAUCCUAUCCAACUUUCAGGCAUUAAGAUACAUUUCAAGGAUUGAGAGUAGAGAUAAUUGUACCCAUACACAUAAAAAAUGACAGCAAUGGAAUGCCAAUCCUCGGGCUUUAUUUGUAAAGUCUCUAUUCCUUGGUAAUCAAACAUCCAAAGAUCUAUGAAUUAGCCCAUACUUGACUAGCCAAGUAGACAAAAGACCCUGCAUCUUUUUUAUCUCUCCCGCAUUUUUAUUUGUAUAAGUAUUUCAGAUUUAUGAUUAAAUUUAUGAAAAUUGACCCACCACUUCUUUUAUGGACAAAGGAAUCCUCUCUAAUUCACUAAUUCGGGGGAAGAUACUAAAUUUUUGUAUUUGGAAAAGAUUUUCGUAGGGAUCUCUGAAGUAGAUGGUGGUUGAUAAAGAACUCUUUGAUCAUAAUUUCCCGUAUGAAUACUGCGUCGAACAUGAAACUUGUUAUUGGUAGUAAAACACCGAAUCACUCAUUGAGACCUAAUUCGAUCUUCAUAGAGUUCUCGAGAUAUUUUCUUACGAAGUUUUGUUAUAGCAUCUAUAAUUGAUUCUGGUUUAGGUGGGCAACCUGGAAAAUAUAUAUCUAUAGGAAUUAACUUAUCGACUCCCCGAACAGUACUAUAAGAAUUGGUACUGAACAUCGCACCUCUAAUUGUACAGGAUCCCAUAAAAAUAACAUAUUUUGGUUUAGGCAUUUGCUCAUAUAAUCUCAUUAAAGAGGGGGCCAUUUUCAUUGUUACUGUUCCAGCUGUUAAAAUUAGAUUCGCUUUUCUAGAACUCUAUCUUGGUACUAGUCCAUAACGAUCAAAGUCGAAGCGUGAGCCUAUUAGUGAAGCAAAUUCAAUGAAGCAACAAUUGGUACCAUAGAGAAGCGGCCAUAAACUAGAGAGUCUUAACCAAUUUGAAAGAUCAUUUAAUGUAGUUGAAAUAACUGAAUUUGGGGCUGUUCGAUCAAGUAAAGGAAACUAAAUAGAAUUCAUACCUGUCUCAAUCUUAUUUUUUUCGUUUUUCUUUUUACUGUCUAAAUAUUCAGGAGCUAAGACCAUUCCAAUGCCCCCUUUCGCCAUGCAUAAACUAAACAAUAAUUAAGGUAAUCACAAAAAUCGAAGCUUCUAUAUAUACAGAUACACCCAAUACGUCGAAACUCAUUGUCCAUGGAUAAAGAAAAACCAUUUCAACAUCAAAAACAACAAAAACUAGAGCAAACAUAUAAUAACAGAUUCGAAAUUGUAACCAAGCAUCACCCAUUGGUUCUAUACCCGACUCAUAAGUAGAAAGUUUCUCCGGCCCUUUGCUAAUCGGGGCUAACACUCCGGAAAUGAAAAAUGCCAAAAUAGGAACAAGGAUGGAUAUUAUUAGAAAUGCCCAAAAAAAAUCAUAUUCGUAAAGCAGAAACAUAAACGCACUCCUAUGAACGUGGAAAAUAUACCGGAUUCGAUUGGUCGAUUCAAACAUGAAUUAAAGACAGGGAUAGAAUGUAGCAGUACCAAAUAUAUUUACUUUACCUAGUACUCAAGAUUAUUUCCCUAGGUCGAGGUAAGUAAGGUAUACGAAGGAAAAGCCUAUUUGAUAAUAAAAGUGACCAAAGAUAUUCGUUUAUCAAAAAACUUUAGCUUGUACACAAAUACAACAGUCCCUUCCUCAAUCUAUGUGAAUUCCUCUUCGUAGUUUUUCAUUUCACCAGGCCCGUGAAAUGAUUUGACUUCCAAAAUUCAAUAAUAUUGGGGAUAUAAAAGAAAGGGAGUUUCACUAAUUCUUUAAUUGUGGAUAUGAAUAUGUAAUUCGCCUCCGAAGAUUAAUGAUGAAAGAUUGGUUUGUUUAUCUGUAAUUGAAAAAAUAAAUAUCGAUUGGAUCUAUUGAUAUGCGUUUUUUUUUCAUCUUCUUAAACUUAAAUGAUUGCCAUGAGUAAACUUAUAGGAAUAGUUGAAUUUCACUUAGUUACAAGCAAUAAAUAAUAAUGAAGAAAUGAAAAUUAUACAAUUUUUUUUCAUUUUUAUUUUAAUUUAUAGGGCUAUAUAGACUUGAACCGUAGACCUUCUCGGUAAAACUGAUCGAACUUAUUAUUAUUAUAAUGAUCUGAACUGUUUCAAAGACCCAACAUGCAAUUUUUUUGCAUUGGGCUCUUUCAUUAACUGAUAUUUAUAGCAGUUAGUCUGCCAUAUUUUUCUUGACAGGAAAAAAGAUAAGGAAAUGGCUCCAUGUGCUCUGAUUCAUUAUUUGGGAGCAUUACCAAAGUGUUUCAAAGGUGGGAUUAUCUUGACGUAGUUCUGUCUCUGGCCUAAAUAAACCUAAGUUAAAUGAAGUCUCUAUCAUUUCUUCUUAAAAAAUCAAAUAUGAAACUUCAUACACCUUAAAGUUCAUAUGACGAAAAGAGAUUUUUUUGAGGUCCUUAUACUCUCAUUUUGCCUAGUAUUGAAUAGACUGGGUAUUCACCUUAUCAACAUCUUAAAUCAAUGAUGGGGUCUGUUUGGCACCUCCUAAAUAGACGUCCAAAUUGGACCGAACCCUUUGUCAGGCUAUGGUUCCCUCAAAGUUAUGGAGUAAGACAUCGAUUUCUCAACAAGAUCGAUUUUUCUGAUUGUAUGAUGAACUCCCUUGAAAAACAUUGGCGCGCGUGUAAACGAGUUGCUCUACCAACUGAGCUAUAGCCCUUAGUGCUUGUGAUACAUAUUUUAUCAUGUAGAUAAAUUCUUGUCAAGAUAAAUAUUCCAUGAUCCAACAUCAACAAUCUUUGAUCUCUUUGAGUGGUAUUCCUUAGAUUAGUAUUGCUUAUUAGAUUAGUAUUGCUUAUAAGUAAUAUGAUAUUUAUAAUCCAUCGACAGGAUGGGUUUCGUUUGGUUCUCUUUGGAAUGAUAAAUGACCUACUUAACUCAGUGGUUAGAGUACUGCUUUCAUACGGCGGGAGUCAUUGGUUCAAAUCCAAUAGUAGGUAAAACUUAUUAGAUACCAGAGUCAAUGGUAUCUAAUAAGCUUUACAACCCACCUUUAGUGAUAUUUAUUUUUUGAUUUUGUAUAUUUUCUAUUUCAUUUUUAAAUUUGAAUUUCUGCAUCAGAAUUGACUUUUGUUUGAUUGUAUUCACCCAACAGAAUCUAAAUAGGAUUAGAAAGAGAACUUCUUUUAUUAUUCAAAUAUACUAAAUAGUCAUACUAAAUAGUUAUGAAAUUGGAUUGAUAGCCUUCACCCGUGUUCUAGCUCAUUGGAGAGCUAGAUUUGCCUCAAUUUUUUGUCUCCUUCCAUCAGCCUUUUUCAGAUUUGCCUCCACUAUUUCAAGAGUUUGCUGAGCUUCUUGUGGAUGAAUGUCACUACCUUCUUGUGGAUGAAUGUCACUACCCUUCUCCGCAUCAUUUACUAAAACAGUGAUCUCAUUAUUGCCUAUUCUAGCAAAGCCAACCAUCAGAGCCAUCGUUAACCAUUGGUUGUUAAGGCGUAUUCGCAAAAUCCCUAUAUCUACAGCUGUGGCAAUAGGGACGUGAUUUGGUAAUAUGCCAAUUUGACCACUAUUAGUAGAUAACACGAUUUCUUCCACUUCUGAAUCCCAAACAAUUUGAUUAGGAGUCAGUACACUAAGAUUUAAGGUCAUUUUUUCAAAUUUCUCUCCAUUUCUAAGUUCAUAGCCUUCGCGGUAGCUUCAUCGAUAUUACCUACAAAAUAAAAGGCCAUUUCAGGAAGACCAUCUAAUUCUACGGAAAGGAUCAAUUGAAAUCCUCGAAUUGUUUCUACUAGACCAACAUAUUUCCUUGGAGAACCAGUAAAUACUUCUGCUACGAAAAAGGGUUGUGAUAAGAAACGCGCAAUUUUUAUGCUCUUGCUACGAGUAAACGAUCCUCUUCGGAUAAUUCAUCCAAUCCAAGGAUAGCUAUAAUGUCCUGAAGUUCUUUAUAACGUUGUAAAGUUUGCUUAACUCGUUGGACGGUUUUGUAAUGUUCCUCACCAAUGAUCCGAGGUUGAAGCAUGGUUGACGUUAAAUCUAAAGGAUCUACUUCUAGAUAAAUACCUUUGGAAGCCAAUCCUAUUGAUAGUAUGGUAGUAGCAUCUAAAUGUGCAAAUGUCGUAGAAGGAGCAGGGUCGGUCAAAUCAUCUGCGGGUACAUAAACUGCUUGAAUAGAUGUUAUGGACCCUUCUUUGGUAGAAGUAAUUAUUUCUUGUAAAAAACCUAUUUCAGUACUUAGGGUCAGUUGAUAACCCACAGCGGAAGGCAUUCUACCCAAUAAGGCCGAUACUUCAGAUCUUGCUUGGAUGAAACGGAAGAUAUUGUCAAUAAAUAGAAGUACGUCUUGCUCAUUAACAUCUCGGAAAUAUUCCGCCAUAGUUAGGGCAGUCAAACCAACUCUCAUACGAGAUCCUGGUGUUUCAUUUAUCUGACCGUAAAAUAGGUCCACUUUUGAUUCUACAAUAUUUUCUUCAUUAAUCACUCCAGAUUCUUUCAUUUCCAUGUAAAGAUCAUUUCCUUCCCAAGUACGUUCACCCACUCCGCCAAAUACGGAUACACCCCCAUGAGCUUUAGUAAUAUUGUUAAUCAAUGCCAUAAUGAAUACUGUUUUACCCACUCCAACUCCCCCAAAUAGUCUAAUUUUUCCUCCACGACGAUAACAGGCUAGAAGAUCUACUACUCUAAUUCCUGUUUCAAAAAUAGAUAAUUUUGUAUCCAACUGUAUAAAGGCAGGCACAGAUCUAUGAAUAGGAAACAUUGUACUAGUAUAUACAGGCCCUAAAUUAUCAAUAGGAUCUUCGAGCACAUUAAAAAUUCAUCCCAGAGUCGCCACCCCGACCGGAACACUUAUAAGAGCUCCUGUGUCAAUCGCUUCCAUUCUUCUCGUUAAACCGUCUUUAGCACUCAUAUCUACAACUCUAACUCAAUUAUUUCCUAAUAAUUAUUUUACCUCACAAGCCAUAUUAAUUGGUUGACCAACACUAUCUCGACCUUGAGCUACGAGAGCAUUAUAAAUAUUUGGCACCUUGCCCGGGGGAAAGGCUACAUCUAGUACCGGACUGAUGAUUUGGAUGACACGCCCCAGGUUUUUUUUUCAAGCGUGGAAACCCCAGAACUAGAAGUAGCAGGAUUGAUUCUCAUAAUAAUAAAACAAAUAAAUAUGUUGAAAUGUUUUUUCAAAAAUUAUCGAAUUCAAAGUAAAUGUCCGCUAGCACAUCGAUUGGUUAAUUCAAUAAAAUGGGAAUUAGCACUCGAUUUCGUUGGCACCAUGCAAUUGAACCAAUUCAAUUGUUUACUUAUUCAAUGAGAUUGAUUUAAUUUGCAAGCUCACCCAACCUAUUUUAAUUUAAAAAUCUCAAGUGGAUGAAUCAGAAUCUUGAGAAACUCUUUCAUUUGUCUAUCAUUAUAGACAAUCCUAUCCAUAUUAUCUAUUAUAUGGAAUUCGAACUUGAACUUUAUUUUAUUUUCUAUUACGAUUCUCUAUUUGGAUCUAAUGGGCUCCUCUUCUUAUUUUUCUUAUUUAUUUUUUAGUUAAAUUUCAGCAUAUUGAUUUAUGCCUAGCUUAUUCUUUUCUUUACGUUUUUCUUUCUUUUUUAUACCUUUCAUAGAAGAAUUCCAUAUAUUUUCACAUUCAGGAUUUACAUAUACAACAUAUACCACUGUCAAAGGGGAAGUUCUUAUUAUUUAGGUUAGUUAGGUAUUUCCAUUUCAAAGAAAAAAGGUAAAAAAAUAUAUAUAUAUGAAAGAGUAUACAAUAAUGAUAUAUUUGGAAAAUCAAAUACCAUGGUCUAAUAAUCAACCAUUCUGAUUAAUUGAUAAUAUUAGUAUUAAUUGUAAAUUUUCUGAAAGAUUCCUAUGAAAAGUUUCAUUAACACGUAAUUCGUGUUGAGUAGACCUUGUUGUUGUGAGAAUUCUUACUUCAUGAGUUGUAGGGAGGGAUUUAUGUCACCACAAACAGAGACUAAAUUAAGUGUUGGAUUCAAAGUUGGUGUUAAAGAGUAUAAAUUGACUUAUUAUACUCCUGAGUACCAAACCAAGGAUACUGAUAUAUUGGCAGCAUUCCGAGUAACUCCUCACCUUAGAGUUCCACCUGAAGAAGCAGGGGCCGCGGUAGCUGCCAAAUCUUCUACUGGUACAUGGACAACUGUAUAGACCGAUGGACUUACCAGUAUUGAUCGUUACAAAGGGAGAUGCUACCGCAUCGAGCGUGUUGGUGGAGAAAAAGAUCAAUAUUUUGCUUAUGUAGCUUACCCUUUAGACCUUUUAGAAGAAGGUUCCGUUACCAACAUGUUUACUUCCAUUGUAGGUAAUGUAUUUGGAUUCAAAGCCCUGUGCGCUCUACGUCUGAAAGAUCUGUGAGUCCCUACUGCUUAUAUUAAAACUUCCCAAGGUCUACCUCAUGGGAUCCAAGUUGAAAGAGAUAAAUUGAACAAGUACGGUCGUCCCCUGUUGGGAUGUACUAUUAAACCUAAAUUGGGGUUAUCUGCUAAAAACUUUGGUAGAGCUAUUUAUGAAUGUCUUCGCGGUGGACUUGAUUUUAUCAAAGAUGAUGAGAACGUGAACUCACAACCAUUUAUGUAUUGGAGAGAUCAUUUCUUAUUUUGUGCCGAAGCAUUUUUUAAAGCACAGAAUGAAACAGGUGAAAUCAAAGGGCAUUACUUGAAUGCUACUGCAGGUACAUGUGAAGAAAUUAUGAAAUGAGAUAUAUUUGCUAGAGAAUUGGGUGUUCCGAUCGUAAUGCAUGACUACUUAAUGGGGGGAUUCACCGCAAAUACUAGCUUGGUUCAUUAUUGCCAAGAUAGUGGUCUACUUGUUCAUAUCCACCGUGCAAUGCAUGCGGUUAUUGAUAGACAGAAGAAUCAUGGUAUGCACUUUUGGAUAUUAGCAAAAGCGUUACGUAUGUCUGGUGGAGAUCAUAUUCACGCUGGUACCAUAGUAGGUAAACUUGAAGGUGAAAGAGACAUAACUUUGGGCUUUGUUGAUUUAUUGCGUGCUGAUUUUGUUGAACAAGAUCUAAGUUAUGGUAUUUAUAUCACUCAAGAUUGGGUCUCUUUACCAGGUGUUCUACCUGUGGCUUCAGGAGGUAUUCAUGUUUGGCAUAGAAAGCCUAUUUUCUUCUACGCACCUUCUGGCCCCUCCCUUUGAGUACGAAUAAAAGGACUUUGGUUUACUAGAGACAUCAACAUAUUGUUUUAGCUCGAUGGAAACAAACUCUUUUUCCUCAGGAUCCUAUUAAAUAGAAAUAGAGAACUAAAUAACUAGAAAGGUUGUUAGAAUCCCCAUCAACAAAGCAAUUCGUUUUAUCUGUAUUCAGACCAAAAGCUGAAAUAGAUGUUAUGGGUAGAAUUCUUUUUUUUCAAAUUUUGUUCACAUCUUACAUCUUAUACAUUGAAUCAUAUUCAUAAGGGAGCCGAAUGAAACCAAAGUUUCAUGUUCAGUUUUGAAUUAGAGACGUUAAAAAAAUGAAUCAACGUCCACUAUAACCCGUAGCCUUCCAAGAUAACGAUGCGGGUUCGAUUCCCGCUACCCGCUCUAUAUCUAUUUAUUCUAAAUAUUUUAAUCUAUUCAUUAAAUCAAAUUUAGUUUAUUAGUAUUAGUACAUCAUUGAAUAUACAAUUCAAAAAAUUAUUUCACAUCAGAUUCUUUCUGUUUUUUUUUUCAAACAAAAAGUUAAAAUACGAAAAAAAAAUCAGAAUGAAAAGCGUCCAUUGGUCUAAUGGAUAGGACAGAGGUCUUCUAAACCUUUGGUAUAGGUUCAAAUCCUAUUGGACGCAAUUUAUUUCCAUAUAUAUAUUUUUUAUUUUUUUUUAGAUUUUGAUAGCAAGAAAGACUGUUUGAAUAUUUGAAUCCAAGAUGCUUAAUUCCUUUUUUUUUUAUUAAGAUUAAGACAAGGGUUAUCAAUAUUUCUUUAUGCUUGUUCCUAAAGUAUAAAAUGGUCCAUUUGUUCCUGAAUAGCUUCUUUCAAAAGGGUUUCUGCUUCCUCGAUAAAUUUUUUGGUAGAAGAUAUGAUUUUUUGAAAUUGAGGUUUAUUAGUUUUUAAGUACGUAUAUCAAAAAGAAAUUUCCUUACCUGUCUAACUUCUAAUGAAUCAAGAUAGCUUUUUGUUCCGGUAUAAAUAGUCAUUACCUGCUCUGCUACUGUGAGAGGAUCCACUUGUGAUUGUUUAAGAAAUUCACAUAAUCGUUGAUCUCUUGCCAAUUUAUUCUGAGUAGAUUUAUCGAGAUCAGAAGCAAAUUGUGCAAAGGCUUCUAAUUCUGCGAAUUGUGCUAGUUCUAAUUUUAAUUUACCAACUACUUAUUUCAUGGCUUUUAUUUAAGCUGCGGACCCCACUCUGGAAAUGGAGAUAUCCACAUUAAUAGAAGGUCUGAUUCCAGAAUUGAAUAGGUCGGCGGAUAAGAAGAUUUGUCCAUCAGUAAUGGAAAUUACAUUAGUAGGAAUAUAAGCCGAAACAUCUCCCGAUUGAGUUUUAACUAUUGGUAAGGCGGUUAUACUUCCUUCACCUAAACUAGAAUUUAAUUUAGCGGCUCUUUCCAAAUGGUGUGAAUGCAAAUAAAAAACAUCUCCUAGAUAAGAUUCACGACCGGGCGGUCUUCAUAAUAGAAGAGACAUUUGGUAAUAAGCUUGCGCUUGUUUGGAGAGAUCAUCAUAAAUGAUUAAAGUGUGUCAUUCACGAUACAUAAAAUAUUCAGCCAGAGCUGCUCCUAUAUAAGGAGCAAGGUAUUGUAAUGUAGCAGGAGAAUCCGCCGUUUCGGCUACCACAAUUGUGUAUUCCAUCGCUCCCCUUUCCCGUAAAGUUGUUAAUACCUGGGCCACAAAAGACGCUUUCUUUCCAAUAGCUACAUAAACACAUAAUACAUUUUAACCUUGUUGAUUGAGAAUGGUGUCUGUGGCUACUGCUGUUUUAUCGGUCUGUUUAUCCCCAAUAAUUAAUUCUCACUGGCCACGUCCUAUAGGGAUCAUCGAAUCAAUUGCAAUAAGCCCGGUUUGAAGAGGCUUAUAUACAGAACGCACGAAAUAAUAUCCGGGGUGGCAGAUUCAAUUAAUCAAAAUUUAGAAGCUGAAAUUUCACCUCUACCACAAUAGGUUUAGCCAGGGCAUUUACAACAUAACCCAAAUAAGUCUCACUCACGGGUAUCUGAGCAAUUCUUCCCAUUGCUUUUACAGAACCAAAUAUGAGUCUUUCGAUUCAUUUGGCUCUCACGCUCAAUUACUAAGUUAAAUUCUCAUAUAUUUUUUUAUGAAUGUAAUGAGCCUAUCUUCUCUUCUUUUUUCAUAUUCCAAAAAUAUAUCGAAACUAAUAUAAGACCAAAAUAUUCGGAGGACUCUUCUGACAAAAUAAAAAUAUGCAAUUGUCAGCAAAGUUGUUUCUUUUUUUUUUUUUUUAAAUCCAAAAAGCCCUACUUACUUGAAGAUCUGGACACAUUAAAUUUGAAUCUAAGUCCCCAAAGAAAAUGCAAAUCAAAUAAAGAAAACAUAAAAAUUAGAGCGGGGUCAAACUUUUUGAAUAAAAAGAAUACAAUUAAAAAAAUAAUUGGAAUCGUUCUGAAGAGAAUAUGUGUCCCUGCACUGCACAAAUAAGAUCUGGUUAUAUAUCAUAUAUGUGGGUACAUAUUGUAUAUCAAGAACAAAAAAUGCAGAUAUGGUCGAAUGGUAAAAUUUCUCUUUGCCAAGGAGAGGAUGCGGGUUCGAUUCUCGCUAUCCGCCCAAGAUCCAAGAUAAAGUAGUUUUUUUAAUAUUUAUUAUUUAAUUUCAUAAAUAGCAUUCAAUAUAUCCUUAAAUUAAGAAUUUGGUAUAGUUGGCCGUGAUAGUGUAGUGAUUCUAUCCCUCCCCUACAUUUUCUUUUGCCUUCCACCCCCAAAAAACGAAAGGAGGGAAUUAAUUACUAGUUACCAGAGUCAACCCUAAAAUAGUUUGGAAAAAUAAGAUGUUGCAGAGAUAGGAUUUGAACCUGUGACCUCAAGGUUAUGAGCCUUGUGAGAUACCAAAAUACUUUACCCCGCGCCGAAGAUAAGAACUGAACACUAAUAGAUAAACAAGGAUAAAAUGCGCCCCUCCACUCUAUCUGCACAAAUAGAAUAGCCCAUUUAUACAGAAUUGUAAAAGGGCUUCUAUGAUCAUCGACCAUAGAAAUAGAAAUGAAGCAUUAAUCCUUACCAACUUGAUCUUGUUGCUCCUGGCAACAAACAUGCAUGAACCAUUUCACGAAGUAUGUGUCCAGAUAGUAUAAAAUCUCGAUAGUUAGCUCUCGGACUUCCAUUCAAAAAACAACAUCGAUGAAGGCAUGUAGGUGCACUAUUCCGUGGUAGGGAUUGUAACUUUCCAUAAAUUUCUCAUUUGUCACUCAACGAUGGAACCUUGCUUAUUUCGUUUUUUGAGCAUCGACGAAUCAAAUGAUAUUUCUAUUUCAAUUUUUGCCUCUUCUUCUCCCUUUAAAUCAAACUUUUCUUUGCCAUAAUGGUUGAAUUCCUAUUAGUAUCCAUGAUAAAAGUCGAAUCCAAGAUGUAGAAAUAGAAGAAGGUGGACCCCCUCUCCGUUGAAAGAAAUAAGAUUAUCGCGGAUACACACAUUAAUUAACCAAAUUUGCCCGACGUAGAGGCAAUAAAAAAAAAUGCAUAAGUGAAUACAUAACCUACAGAAAAGUGAGCUAAUCCAACCAAUCUUUCUUGUACAAUAGAAAGGGCCACUGGUUUAUCUCUCCAGCGAAUCAAAUUGGCCAAAGGUGUGCGUUCAUGAGCCCAUGCUAAAGUUUCAAUCAAUUCUUGCCAAUAUCCACGCCAAGAAAUUAAGAACAUAAAUCCAGUAACCCAAAGAAGAUGUCAAAAUAAGAACAUCCAUGCCCAAAUCGAUAAACUAUCCAUUGAUAAGUUGUGAAGAGUUUAACCAUAAAUAAUCCCUUAACCAGCCCAUCAAAUAAGUGGAAGAUUCAUUAAACAGUGAAAUGUUACCCUUCCAUAAUGUGAUGUGCUUCCAAUGCCAAUAAAAAGUAACCCAUCUAAUAGUAUUAAAAAUCCAAAAAAAUUGCCAAAUAAAACGCGUCCCAUGCCGAAAUAUCAUAAGUACCACCUCUUCCUGGGCCAUCGUACGGAAAACUAUAACCAAAAUCCUUUUUAUUUGGCAUUAAAUUUGAACCAAUAGUGCUAGCAAAUAGUUUUGUCUCAUCGGGAUAGGGGUAGGAAAAAGAGAGAUUUUCGUCGUUUGUGGAUCACUCAGAUAAAUGCAGCAUUCGCAAAGGGGGAGUCUCCCAUAGUCAUAGUAAAUUAAUACAUAAUCUGUACAAUAGAAGGUUGCUUCUUAACCAUAAAAUACUUGCACAAAUAGCUAUAUCACAUAGGAAUUGUCUUUAUAUAAUUUUGAAUAAAAUCAACCCGGAGUCUUUACCGGAGGCUUUAAAAAAUCCCCAGGCUCUCAUGAGAAUAAAUGGAGGUUUCUUCUACCGGACGAGUUAGAAAUUAGUAUGAGAAAAUAUGCUAAAGUAGUCAAAAUGAAUGACCACAUUCAAUUCAAUAAAAAUAGAUUUUGUUUUUCCGAUUCAUUUGUUUCUUACGACACGAUACUCAAAUAUAGAUUCACUCAAAUCUAGAUUUGAGUAAUUAUGAUUCAAGUAAAGAAAAAGUAAGCCUUUUUAUUUCGGGCAUUAAAACCAGUAUUUCUAGCGGUCGACUCGGUUCUUUCAAAUUGUUUCUCAUUAUUGAGAAAAGGUAACAAAGAUAAAAUACGGGCUUGUUUUAUAGCAAGAGUAAUUAAUCGUUGUUGUUUUAAGGUCAAUUUAUUCAUGCGUCUUGAUAAUAUUUUUCCUUAUUCACUAAUAAAUCGACUAAUUAAACUCAUGUUUCUAUAAUCAAUUCGAUCCCCCGAUUGAAUCGGGGGCAAACGCCUACGAAAAGAUCGCUUGAAUUUAAGAAAAGGUCGCUUGGAUUUAUCCAUGGUUUGUUUGUUUAAUUUAUUCCUUAUCCCUAAAAUCCUAUUUCUUAAUUCUAAUUCAUUUUAAAUCCACCCAAAAUAAAAUAGGAUUUUAGAAAAAUAGGAUUUGUUUAGUUUCUAUUUAAAUAUGUUAUAUAUAAUGUCAUUUUUUCCCCUUCCUUGAAAGGGUAAGGCACAGGUACUUGGUUCGCUCUAUUUUUUUAUCUCCCCAUGAAUCGUAUGUUUGUAACAAUAGGGACAGAAUUUUUUCAAUUCUAAUCGAUUAGGCGUAUUGUGCCGGUUCUUUUGAGUACUAUAUCUGGAAAUACCUCUUGAUACCUUAUCAACACUGUUUCGGACACAACUAGUACAUUCCAAAAUCACCGUUACUCGGACAUCUUUCCCCUUGGCCAUGAACCUCCUUUGGAUUUUUGAUUUACUCAACUCUUCUAUUUUCGAUUCAAAACGAAGAAAGGAUAAAAUAGAAGUUACUAACUUGAAAUCCAAUUCUAAAAGUAAAAGAUUAAAAUUAAGAAAAUAAAGUAAUAGUAAAGCAAAGUCAUAGUAAAAUACAACGAUUUUUCUAAAGUAUAUUGCAAAUUUAAGUAAUCAUUUAAGUAUCUUGUAUAAUACUCUCGCCCUAGACCCCCAUUUUCUAUUCUACCCCCAUUCCUCUAUGAUUAAUAUUCAGUUAAUUCGAACUUGAGCCCGAAUGUUGAAUCCACUUUUUUAUUCUUUCUCUUUCCUUCCUUAUUCUAAAAAGGGAAAAAAGAGAAAAGAAGGAGAGAGGGAUUCAUCACCAAUAUUUGAUUGGAUAUAUAAUAUUCUUUAUUCCUUUCCAUGACAAUAACUAGAAUGAAAAAAGGGAAAUGUCAACGCAUCCAGGAAAAAAUAAUUAAUCACUAUCAAUAGACCUGCUAAAGCCCCGAACCAUAGCGUACUUAGUACUGGUGCCACAGAGAGAUAUGUUUUUAGAUAUCGCAUUGAAAAACCUCCUUAUUUUGUAUUAUUUGUUAGAAUAACUUUGCUUGACAAUUAGGAUCUCUUUAGAAAUUAUAAAGAAAAAAUAUGAAUAGAAAUCAUAGAUAUCUUACCAAUCCAAUUGGGUUUUUUCUAAAUGGAGCCUGGAUACUUCAUUUUCUUAGUCCAACCAAGCCAACCAUAAAUUAUUCUAAUUGAUAAUAGUAAUAUGAAUCCUCUAAAAAAUGGAUCUAAUUGCACUUCAUGCUCUAAAUUUUUGAUGAUUCAAUUUAUCAUUUUAUCGUUCUUGGGCAAAACGGGGGAUAUCUCGAUCGGGGGAGAGAAUGGAGAAAUACCAUAUGACCCAAUAUAUCUGACAAGUCGCACUAUACGUCAACCCAAAGUGGAUUUACCUCUCCAGAACCUUAGAAGGGAGCUUUCGGAACACCAAUAGGCAUUAAAUGAAAAAAAGAACUAAAUACUAUAUUUCACUUUGAGGUGGAAACGUAAUAAUUUUUUUAUUGUCUUUAGAAUAUUUAUAUUGGUUCUUAUCAUAUUUAUUUUAUCCAUAGAUUCUAAAAAUUCAUAAAGAAAGAUAGAAUGAAUAAACUCAAAUUAUUACGAAUAGGUCUUUCUAAUGAUAAAUAAGUAUGGACUCAUUCGCUUAUAGAAAAUGAGAUCAACUCCCCCAUUGCGUAUUGGUACUUAUCGAGUAUAGAAUAAAUCUACUUCUCUUUGUUCCUACGAACAGAAUUGUUCUAUUAUUACCACCAGAAUAGAACACCCUUGAUUCGGAAAUAAUCGACUGAACAAGAGUGGUCCAUAGGAUAGUCAUAUUAUAGUCUUUUCCAAUGCAAUAAAGUUACGUAGUGUCCAUUUAUCUUUGAUAUAAGGGGUAUUUCCAUGGGUUUGCCUUGGUAUCGUGUUCAUACCAUUGUAUUAAAAGAUCCUGAUCGGUUGCUUUCUGUUCAUAUAAUGCAUACAGCUUUGGUUGCUGGUUGGGCCAGUUCGAUGGCUCUAUAUGAAUUAGCGAUUUUGAUCCUUCUGAUCCUGUUCUUGAUCCAAUGUGGAGAUAGGGUAUGUUCGUUAUACCCUUCAUGACUCGUUUAAGAGUAACCAAUUCAUGGGGCGGUUGGAGUAUCACAGAGGGGACUGUAACGAAUUUGGGUAUUUGGAGUUAUGAAGGUGUAGCGGGAGCACAUAUUGUGUUUUCUGGCUUAUGAUUUUUGGCAGCUAUCUGGCAUUGGGUGUAUUGGGAUCUAGAAAUAUUUUGUGAUGAACGUACAAGAAAACCCUUUUUGGAUUUGCCAAAGAUCUUUGGAAUUCAUUUAUUUGUCUCAGGGGUAGCUUUCUUUGGUUUUGGUGCAUUUCAUGUUACAGGCUUGUAUGGUCCCGGAAUAUGGGUGUCCGAUCCUUAUGGACUAAUGGGAAAAGUAAAACCUGUAAAUCCAGCGUGGGGUAUGGAAGGUUUUAAUCCUUUUGUUCCAGGAGGAAUAGCCUCUCAUCAUAUUGCAGCAGAAACAUUGGGAAUAUUAGCGGGCCUAUUCCAUCUUAGCGUUCGUCUACCACAACGUCUAUACAAAGGAUUGCGUUGGGAAAUAUUGAAACUGUCCUUUCUAGUAGUAUUGCUGCUAUCUUUUUUGCAGCUUUUGUUGUUGCCGGAAUUAUGUGGUAUGGUUCGGUAACUACCCUGACUGAAUUAUUUGGGCCCACUCAUUAUCAAUGGGAUCAUAGGUAUUUCCAGCAAGAAAUAUAUCGAAGAGUUAGUGUUGGGCUAGCAGAAAGUCAAAGUUUAUCAGAAGCCUGGUCUAAAAUUCUUGAAAAAUUAGCUUUUUAUGAUUACAUCGGCAAUAAUCCGGCAAAAGGAGGAUUAUUCAGAGCAGGUUCAAUGGAUAACGGGGAUAGAAUAGUGGUUGGAUGGUUAGGACACCCUAUCUUUAGAGAUAAAGAAGGGCGUGAACUUUUUGUACGUCGUAUGCCUACUUUUUUGAAACAUUUUCGGUCGUUUUAGUAGACGAAGAUGGAAUUGUUAGGGCCGAUGUUCCUUUUAGAAGGGCAGAAUUGAAGUAUAGUAUUGAACAAUUAGGUGUAACUGUUGAGUUCUACGAUGGUGAACUCAACGACGUCAGUUAUAGUGAUCCUGCUACUGUGAAAAAAUAUGCUAGACGUGCUUAAUUGGGUGAAAUUUUUGAAUUAGAUCAUGCUACUUUGAAAUCCGAUGGUGUUUUUCGUAGCAGUCUAAGGGGUUGGUUUACUUUUGGGCAUGCUUCGUUUGCUUUGCUCUUCUUCUUCAGACAUAUUUGGCAUGGUGCUAGAAUUGUAUUCCCCCGAAAGGAAUGGUGAAGUUGAAAACCUAAUCCUUUAAAUCUUUGUUGUUUAGUCGAUAAAUUAUAUGCCCUUUGGUUGAAUCAUAAGGAAUUACUUCAAUUUUUACUCUAGCUCCUACUCUAUCUCCUGGCACUAUCCGUACAAAACUAUGCCGGAUCUUUUCUGAAAUAGAAUUGAGAAUCCGAUCUAAACAAAUCGGGAAUAGACCGUUGGGAAGCGAUUCAGUAAUUAAAGCUUUAUGACUCCAUUUUGGUUCUUAAAAUUCCCUUGAGGUAUCAACUAAUGAGAAAGAUAUUAGACAACCCCCCUUUUUCUAUUUCACAAAUUUAACAAAUAGGAAGUUUCAAAUCCAAUUUUGAUAUUAUAAAGGAUUACCAGAUAUAACACAAAAUUUCUCCACCUAUUCCUUCUAGUCGAGCCUCUCGGUCUAUUAUUAUACCUCAAGAAGUAGAAAGAAUUACAAUCCCUAUUCCACCUAAAAUUCUCGAAAUUCGUUGAUAAUUAGAAUAGAUUCGUAGACCAGGUCGACUUAUUCGUUUUAAAUUUAAAAUAUUUCUAUAGGGUCUUUUCCUAUUUCUUCUAUGUAGCAGGGUUAAAACCAAAAAAUAUUCGUUGUUUUCUUGAUGUUUUCUCAUGUUUUUGGUAAAAACCUCUCGUAAAAGUAUUUGAACAAUAUUUUUGGUAAUAUUUGUCGAUGCUAUCCGAACCACCCUUUUUCGAUCCAUAUCAGCAUUUAGUAUAGAAGUUAUUAUCUCAGCAAUAGUGUCCCUACCCAUGAUGAACUAAAAUUAUUGGGUUCUCCAAAUUUGAUAUAAUCAACGUGUUUAUACCUAUUUAUUUUUGGAAUAUGAUAUGAAUUAUUAAAGAUAUAUGCGUGAGACACAAUCUACUAAUUAAUCUAUUUCUUUCAAAUACCCUACUAGAAACAGAUCACAAUUUCAUUUUAUAAUACCUCAGGAGCUAAUGAAACUAUUUUAGUAAAAUUUAAUUCUCUCAAUUCCCGGGCGAUUGGACCAAAAAUUUGAGUUCUUUUUGAAUUUCCUUCUUGAUCAAUAACAACCGCAGCAUUGUCAUCAUAUCGUAUUAUUAUCCCAUUGUCAUGUUUGAGUUCUUUACAAGUACGCACAAUUAUAGCCCUGACUACUUUUGAUCUUUCUAGGGGCAUAUUUGGUACUGCUUCUUUGUUCACAACAACAAUAACGUCACCAAUAUGAGCAUAUUGACGAUUUCUAGCUCCUAUGAUUCGAAUACACAUCAAUUCUCGAGCCCCGCUAUUAUCCGCUACAUUUAAAUGGGUCUGAGGUUGAAUCAUUUUUUUAAUCCGUUAUUUGAAUGCAUUUGAAUGCAAAGGGCGAAGAAAAAAAAAGAAAUAUUUUUGUCCAAAAAAAAAGAAACAUGUGGUUUUGUUUCAUAUCUAAGAGCCCUUUCUACAUUUUUGUCUAUUACAUUACGAAAUAAUGAAUUGAGUUCGUAUAGGCAUUUUGGAUGCUGCUAGUGAAAUAGCCCUUCUGGCUAUAUUUUCUGUUACUCCACCCAUUUCAUAAAGUAUUCGCCCCGGUUUAACAACAGCUACCCAAUAUUCAGGGGAUCCUUUUCCUGAACCCAUACGUGUUUCUGCGGGUCUUAGUGUAACUGGUUUGUCUGGAAAUAUACGUACCCAUAUUUUUCCACCACGACGUGCAUUUCGUGUCAUUGCUCGUCGGCCUGCUUCUAUUUGUCGAGAUGUAAUCCAAGCAGGUUCAAGUGCUUGAAGAGCAUAUUUACCGAAAGAAAUAUGAUUACCUCGAUAAGAUAUUCCCUUCAUUCUUCCUCUAUGUUGUUUACGGAAUCUGGUUCUUUUGGGGUUAUAGUUGAUGGUUGUUUCUGAAUUCCAUCUCUACUACAGAACCGGACGUGAGAGUUUCUUCUCAUCCAGCUCCUCGCGAAUAAAAGGAUUCCAAAAAAUUCAAUUUGAAUUAAGCUAGAAGAGUCAAUCUUAAGUUAAGAUAUAUAUGUAUUUACUGAGUAAUACCUUGAACGUGGGCUUCUUUGAGAUUUCAUUAAAUCUAUUAGUAAUUUUUAUAUCUUGUUUAAAUAGAUAACUAAACUUUUUAGUUUUAUAAAUAGAAAUAUAAAAAAUUGUAUUAUUA
rnacentral:lncRNA from 1 species